AGGGUGAGAGAGGUAUCAUUGGACCUGAAGGCAGUCAAGGAGCUAUCGGUGAAAGGGGCAGUCCCGGUGAUGCAGGACCGAGAGGCGGUGACGGCUCACCGGGUCAAUAUGGAGCACCAGGAAUUCGCGGAAGCCCUGGAGACAAGGGAAAACCGGUAAGUCUGUGACAUCAGCUUAGCUCCUUGUAUGUCCUCCUCCUUGAAAUGUUUUAAACUUUUUUAUUAUGCUAUAUUUGUUUGCCCGAAAGUAGCGCCCUCCGAACAUAACAAGGUCGGAAUUCGUUACUUGCGAAACAUUUUAAAUCACGCUCAUAUUAUAUGUACCUCUGGUC